rnacentral:rRNA from 1 species
UCGAGAGGGGAACAACCCAGACUACCAGCUAAGGUCCCAAAGUAAAUCUUAAGUGGAAAACGAUGUGGAGUUACUGUGACAACCAGGAGGUUGGCUUAGAAGCAGCCACCCUUUAAAGAAAGCGUAACAGCUCACUGGUCGAGCGAGCCUGCACCGAAAAUUUAACGGGGCUCAAGUCAUGCGCCGAAGCUAUGGGAUUUAUAUUUAUAUAAAUCGGUAGGGGAGCGUUCCCUGUGCAGUGAAGCUGAAUCGAGAGGGUCAGUGGAGCGCAGGGAAGUGAGGAUGUUGGCAUAAGUAACGAAAAUGUGGGCGAGAAACCCACACGCCGAAAGCCCAAGGUUUCCCGGGCCAUGUUAUUCAGCCCGGGGUUAGUCGGCACCUAAGACGAGGCCGAAAGGCGUAGUCGACGGAAAACCGGUUCAUAUUCCGGUACUUGCAUGUGCGCGUGAUGGAGGGACGCAGGAGGAUAGGCCGGCCUGGUGAUGGAUAUCCAGGUUCAAGGCCGUAGGCGGAAGUCCCAGGUAAAUCCGGGACUUUAUCUAACGCCGAGAGUCGAUGACGAGAGGCUUUGCUUCGCAAAGCGGUCGAUUCCACACUGCCAAGAAAAGCUUCUAAGCAUAGCAGAUGCAAACCGUACCCCAAACCGACACAGGUGGGCGGGUAGAGAAUACCAAGGCGCUUGAGGGAAAUCAUGUUAAGGAACUCUGCAAAAUAACUCCGUAACUUCGGAAGAAGGAGUGCCUGCAGCGGUGAAGGGACUUGCUCCUGGAGCUUAAGCGGGCCGCAGUGACCAGGCCCAGCCGACUGUUUAGCAAAAACACAGCACUCUGCGAACUCGUAAGAGGACGUAUAGGGUGUGACGCCUGCCCGGUGCCGGAAGGUUAAGGGGAUCCGUUAGCCGAAAGGCGAAGCGGUGAACCGAAGCCCCGGUAAACGGCGGCCGUAACUAUAACGGUCCUAAGGUAGCGAAAUUCCUUGUCGGGUAAGUUCCGACCUGCACGAAUGGCGUAACGAGGGCCACACUGUCUCCACCCGAGACUCAGUGAAAUUGAAAUUGCUGUUAAGAUGCAGUAUACCCGCGGCCAGACGGAAAGACCCCGUGCACCUUUACUACAGCUUUGCAUUGAACUCUGAUCCUACCUGUGUAGGAUAGGUGGGAGACUUUGAAACUUUAACGCUAGUUAGAGUGGAGUCAUCCUUGAAAUACCACCCUGGUAUGGUUGGGGUUCUAACCUUGGUCCGUUAUCCGGAUUGGGGACAAUGCAUGGUGGGUAGUUUGACUGGGGCGGUCUCCUCCCAAAGAGUAACGGAGGAGCGCAAAGGUACCCUCAGCACGGUCGGACAUCGUGCAAUGAGCGCAAAGGUAAAAGGGUGCUUGACUGCGAGACUGACACGUCGAGCAGGUAGGAAACUAGGUCUUAGUGAUCCGGUGGUUCUGAGUGGAAGGACCAUCGCUCAACGGAUAAAAGGUACGCCGGGGAUAACAGGCUGAUACCGCCCAAGAGUUCACAUCGACGGCGGUGUUUGGCACCUCGAUGUCGGCUCAUCACAUCCUGGGGCUGAAGCAGGUCCCAAGGGUAUGGCUGUUCGCCAUUUAAAGUGGUACGCGAGCUGGGUUUAGAACGUCGUGAGACAGUUCGGUCCCUAUCUACCGUGGGCGUUGGAGACUUGAGGGAAGCUGUUCUUAGUACGAGAGGACCGGAAUGGACACACCUCUGGUGUUUCGGUUAUGACGCCAGUCGUAUUGCCGAGUAGCUAUGUGUGGAAAGGAUAACCGCUGAAAGCAUCUAAGCGGGAAGCCCCUCCCAAGAUUAGGUCUCCCUGACAGUUUAACUGUCCUAAAGAUCCCUCGGAGACUACGAGGUUGAUAGGCACGGUGUGGAAGAGUAGUGAUACUUGAAGCUAACGUGUACUAAUUGAUCGUGAGGCUUGACCAU